rnacentral:rRNA from 1 species
CCUACGGGUGGCAGCAGUGAGGAAUAUUGGUCAAUGGGCGAGAGCCUGAACCAGCCAAGUCGCGUGAAGGAUGACGGCCCUACGGGUUGUAAACUUCUUUUGUCAGGGAGCAAUUGGGUCCACGCGUGGGCUUAGCGAGAGUACCUGAAGAAAAAGCAUCGGCUAACUCCGUGCCAGCAGCCGCGGUAAUACGGAGGAUGCGAGCGUUAUCCGGAUUUAUGGGUUUUAAAGGGUGCGUAGGCGGGCUUUUAAGUCAGCGGUAAAAAUUCGGGGCUCAACCCCGUCCGGCCGUUGAAACUGGGGGCCUUGAGUGGGCGAGAAGAAGGCGGAAUGCGUGGUGUAGCGGUGAAAUGCAUAGAUAUCACGCAGAACCCCGAUUGCGAAGGCAGCCUUCCGGCGCCCUACUGACGCUGAGGCACGAAAGUGCGGGGAUCGAACAGGAUUAGAUACCCUGGUAGUC